CAUUUAUUGUACCAUCUUAAAUGCAGAAAAAUAAAAUGCAACUAUUUUUUUUUUUAUAUUAUAAUCACUUUCAUAGCAAUAAGCUUAUGAUCCAUGGAGUUCAAAUCCCAUUUGGUCUUCUCUGUGAAAAAUUACUUUUUUAGAUACUGUUGGGAAAGAAAUAGUUUGAAAAUUUUGUUUUCCGUGAAAAAUUAUUUUAAAUUGUUUUUUUCAACACCAUUUUUUUUUAUAAACAAAAAAUUUUAGUAGACCAAAAUUGAGGUGGGAGGAAGAGAGUUCCCAUUGUAUCCCCAUUGUCAACGGGUAAUACGCUGAACACCCAGUCCCAGCCCAGUUCAAAAGAAACCAAAAAAACAGAGGGAUGAUAAAAAAAAUGGCUACAAAAUCCUCUCAAUGAUUCAUUUAUAUGGCAUUCUUUCAACAGUUUAUGUUUUUCUGACAAACGGAGCAUAAUAGCUUUACAAUUAGAUGGCUGUUCUUGAAUUUUCCUUUUAUUAUAUAAAUGGCCAUUAUCAUCUUACUGGUUUUUUCCUACUUUUUUUGUCAGAAGUCAUUAUCAUCAUUACUGAACCAUACCUGUUGUAGAAUAUUUUGAUUAAAGGGAGUUUGGACAUUGAAUAAUUGUAGCCAAAUAAUGAGUAUUCAACCACUUCCUCUUCUCUUCUUUCUCCUAUCCUCCUGUUUGUGGGGUUGUGCUGAUGGAUUCCAGUCUUAUCUUCACAACUCUAUUGCUCUUAGUAGAAGCAGUUUUCCCAACGAUUUUAUGUUUGGGGCAGCAACAAGUGCUUACCAAAUUGAAGGAGCAGCAAAUACAGAUGGCAGGAAGCCAAGUAUUUGGGAUACCUUCACCAAGGAACAUCCAGAAAAAAUAUCUGAUCACAGCUCAGGAGAUGUUGCAGAGGAUUUUUAUCAUCGUUACAAGGAGGACAUUGCUGUGAUUAAAGAAAUUGGUUUGAACUCCUUCAGAUUCUCAAUCUCAUGGCCAAGAGUAUUACCUUGUAAGAUCAUUAAUUACUCUGCACUUCAGUCCAAUGUUGAACUUGGAAAAUGCCAAGCACUAAUCCAUGUGGGCUUCACAUGCUUUUCACUGUGAGACCUGCAUCAAUCAACGGUCCAGAAUGCAUAGUCACACUAUGCAAAAGCAUACCUCGUUGAAUUUUUUAGUUCAAUUGACUAAAGCUCAUUGGUAUAUUUGCCAAAGCAUGCAUAUUAUAAUUUCUUUCAUUAUGAUUUCACGCAUUCUAUCGUUACUCACCGGAUUGCUCUUAGUCGGAAGAGUCAGCGCUGGAGUGAACCCAGAAGGUGUCAAUUUCUACAAUUCUAUGAUUAAUGAGCUCCUAUCAAAUGGUAUAGAGCCCUUUAUAACUUUAUUCCACUGGGAUCUUCCACAAGCUCUACAAGAUGAAUAUGGUGGAUUUUUAAGCCCAAAGAUUGUGGACGAUUAUCGAGAUUAUGUGGACUUUUGUUUUGAAGAAUUUGGAGAUAGAGUGAAGUAUUGGGUCUCUCUCAACGAGCCAAAUUAUUUUAGUUGUUUUGGAUAUGCACUUGGAGCGACUGCACCAGGUCGAUGCUCUAACUAUAUCGGAAAUUGUAGGAAUGGAAAUUCUGCAACUGAACCUUACAUUGUAAUCCACCACAUGAUUCUUUGUCAUGCAACUGCUCUAAAAUUAUACAGACAAAAAUACCAGGUAUGCAAAUUUUUUUUUUGGGUAAAUUAGAAUAAAAUCCUUGAAAUUUAAUAAAGCCCAUAAAUUACUUCCUAUAUGCAAGUUUAAUAAUGAUUUGGUCCUAAAUUUUAUUUGUGUUAAUACAUUAGUCUUUACAUUUUACUUAUAUUAACAAAUUAGUCCUCAAAAUUCACUGCUCAUAAAAACUUAUUUGUCAAUAUAAGUAAAAUGUAAGGACCAAUUUGUUAAUGGAAAUAAAAUUUAAGAAUCAAAUUGCUAGUUUUGUUAAACUUCAAGGAUUUAAUUGUAAUUUACUUUUUUUUAUAAAUACAUAUACAAUUUUUCUUACUUAAAUUUGAUUCAUUAUUAAUUCAAAAUAUAAAUAUGUGAGGCCUAAGUAAAUCGUAUUUUAAAUUUAUGAUACAUUAAAUUUAAAAAAGAAUUUUUCCAAUGAACUCGGUGGUUGAAUUAAAGAGAAAAUUAAUGAGAGUGAACUAUAGAAUUUUAUGUAAUUAAACGCAUAAUUAAGAAAAAAGUUUCUAAAACCAUUAACAUUCUAAAUAAAUGAAUGAACAAUUAGGCUUCUCAGAAGGGAACAAUUGGGAUUAUUGUAACAGCAUUCUGGAAGGAGCCCAAAUUUGACACGAUUGCCAGCAGGAAGGCUGCAUCUAGAGGCCUUGAUUUUACUAUUGGAUGGUGGGUUUCCAUCUUUUCAUAAUUAAUAUUUUCAAUUGGAGCACAGAUGGACUAAGUCCCAUUUGGGACCCACCUAGGCAAAAUUUCUCUUUCAACAGAAUGCUUUCCAGGAAAGUUUGUACAAACAGAAAAUGUCAAUAAUGAUUCUCUGUGCAGGCUUCUUCACCCCCUAACAUAUGGUGACUACCCAGAGAGCAUGAGAACUCUGGUGGGGGAUAGAUUGCCUAAAUUCACAGAAGAACAAUCCCAGAUGAUAAAAGGAUGUAUUGAAUUCGUUGGAGUGAAUUACUAUACAGCAAGAUAUGUUGAUGAAUCUACAUCUUCUACCAGUGUAAACUUAAGUUACACAACAGAUAGUCAGGUUAUUGAAUCCACUGAGAAAAAUGGGAUUCCCAUUGGACAACAGGCUGGUUCUACCUGGAUAUACGUAUACCCAGAAGGACUUCGAGAAAUGGUGUUCUAUAUAAAGAGAAAUUACAACGAUCCUUCUAUUUAUAUCACUGAGAAUGGUAAGCAAUCUGAUCAGGUUGUUAUUAUUAAUAUUAUUAUGAAUUUUGGAAAAAGAAAAGAGAGUUUCAAAUGGAUAAUAAUUAAUCCAUUUUCAAAUAUGACUUUUUGAUUGGAAGGAAUGGCAGAUAAUUACUCCAUGUCAAUUAACGAUUUACUGAACGAUAGCCUGAGAAUAAAAUAUCACUAUCUUCAUCUAUCUUAUCUCCUACAAGCCAUCAAGUGAGUGAUAAUUUACAGAAUUAUUCAUUUAAUUUCCAGAGCUUAUUCUAUUUUCAGUAUAUAUAAAUUCAUUCAUUUGAUUUCUACUGAGACUGAUAUGAUAUUGAUAGGGAAGGAGCUGAUGUAAGAGGGUAUUAUGUAUGGUCAUUUCUGGAUGAUUUCGAGUGGGAAUUUGGUUACACAUUUCGAUAUGGCCUCACUUAUAUCGAUUAUACAAAUGGGUUGAAAAGAAUUCCAAAAUCUUCUGCUUUUUGGUUCCAGAAUUUCCUCCAUGGAGAAAAUGUAACCACUGGAUCAUCUUCUUUGUUGGACUCUGAAAAGAGUUCAAUUUGAUAAGAAAUUAAUAAAUCGUUAUCAGAAAUACAACUUGUAAAUUUGGAUAUUUAAAAUUCAGUCCAAUAUUUUUUUCCCUUUUUGGCAAGCAAUUACAAUUCAUGGAUUACCU
rnacentral:misc_RNA from 1 species